ACUUUACAAUGCGGGCAACCGUGAUAAGGGAACCUCGAGUGCCUGUAAANGCAGGCUGUUCAGGUGCCUAAAACACACCUGAAGAAAGGGCCGGGCAAGACCGGUGCCAGCCGCCGCGGUAAUACCGGCGGCUCGAGUGGUGGCCGCUUUUAUUGGGCUUAAAGCGUUCGUAGCUGGGUUGUUAAGUCUCUUGGGAAAUCUGGCGGCUUAACCGUCAGGCGUCUAAGGGAUACUGGCAAUCUUGGAACCGGGAGAGGUGAGGGGUACUUCGGGGGUAGGA
rnacentral:rRNA from 1 species